rnacentral:rRNA from 1 species
UGGGGAAUUUUCCGCAAUGGGCGCAAGCCUGACGGAGCAACGCCGCGUGGAUGAAGAAGUCCUUCGGGAUGUAAAGUCCUUUCAGCAGGGACGAGUCGAAGACGGUACCUGCAGAAGAAGCAUCGGCUAACUACGUGCCAGCAGCCGCGGUAAUACGUAGGGUGCAAGCGUUAAUCGGAAUUACUGGGCGUAAAGCGUGCGCAGGCGGUUGUGCAAGACAGAUGUGAAAUCCCCGGGCUUAACCUGGGAACUGCAUUUGUGACUGCACGGCUAGAGUACGGCAGAGGGGGAUGGAAUUCCGCGUGGAGCAGUGAAAUGCUGUGAUAUGCGGGGGAACACCGAUGGCGAAGGCAGUCCCCUGGGCCUGUACUGACGCUCAUGCACGAAAGCGUGGGGAGCAAACA